GCUUAAAACCUAGCCCCACCCCUUCUAUGACCCCCCUUAAAUUACCGAACUAACUAAAACAUUCUUAAUAUUAAGUAAAGGAGAUUGAAAAACUCAAUGGCGCAACAAAAAUAGUACCGCAAGGGAAAGAUGAAAUAGAAAUGAAACAAAAUUAAAGCACAAAAAAGUAGAGUUCCCCCCUCGUACCUUUUGCAUCAUGGUUUAACUAGUCUAACCAAGCAUAAAGCAUUUUAGUUUGACCCCCCGAAACUAAGCGAGCUACUUCAGGGCAGCUUUAUGAGCAAACCCGUCUCUGUUGCAAAAGAGUGGGAUGACCCUCAAGUAGAGGUGACAGACCUAACGAGCUUAGUGAUAGCUGGUUACUCAAGAAAAGGAUUUUAGUCCAACCUAAAGCUUCCCCAAAUCCCUAAAAAUUUCCUUGCGGCUUUAGAGCAAUUCAAAUAAGGUACAGCCUAUUUGAAACAGGAUACAACCUCAACUGACGGGUAAUAAACCUCUUAAUCGCAAUCAAGUGGGCCUAAAAGCAGCCACCUUUAUAAUAGCGUCAAAGCUUAUUUGCUAUACCCCAACUAAUCCCCGAAACCCCCUUCAACCCUCUAAUAGUAUUGAGUAAUUCUAUACACUUUAUAGAACUUAUAAUGUUAAAACUAGUAACAAGAAGAAAAACUUCUCCUUAAUGUAAAUGUAAAUCAGAAAGGAUCGCCCACUGAUAAUUAACGCCUGUGACUCCACAUUAGUAACCCCACAAGAAAACCCUAAUAACCCCCGACGUUAACCUAACACAAGAACAUUUCAAGAAAGAUUAAAAGAAAAAGAAGGAACUCGGCAAACCAUUAGCCCCGCCUGUUUACCAAAAACAUCGCCUCUUGAAUAAGAUAAGAGGUCCAGCCUGCCCAGUGACCCCCCAGUUUAACGGCCGCGGUAUCCUAACCGUGCGAAGGUAGCGUAAUCACUUGUUCUUUAAAUCAGGACUAGUAUGAAUGGCAUCACGAGGGUUACACUGUCUCCUUUUUCUAAUCAGUGAAACUAAUCUCCCCGUGAAGAAGCGAGGAUACAACUAUAAGACGAGAAGACCCUAUGGAGCUUCAAAUUUUACCUCAACUGCUACACCAAUUAAAAAUCCCGAUCCCCUCACAAAUAACUUAGCACAAUGAGAGUAAAUUUUAGGUUGGGGUGACCACGGAGAACAAAAAAACCUCCGCAUUGAACUAGGCCUUGAGCCUUGAGCCACGAGCUACGACUCUAAGCACUAAAACACUAACAUCCAUUGACCCAAUUAUUUGAUCAACGAACCAAGUUACCCUAGGGAUAACAGCGCAAUCCGCUUUAAGAGCCCCUAUCGACAAGCGGGUUUACGACCUCGAUGUUGGAUCAGGGUAUCCCAGUGGUGCAGCCGCUACUAAAGGUUCGUUUGUUCAACGAUUAAAACCCU
rnacentral:rRNA from 1 species